UCAAUAGCAUUCCCAUGAAAAACAAUAGGGUUAUUAUUCAACAAUGUAUUCAGUCUUCAAUGUCAGCAAUUAUAACAAUAGUAGUCUGUAUAGGGAGGAAAUGGUGGAUAGAUUUAGUUUUUGCCGAGUUAGCUUUUUAGAGCUCCCACAGGUUCAUUUUUGUUUUUUGUCUUUGAGUUCACUUUGCUUUGGUUGAUCGGUUAGGGUGGUGCUCCGUAGAACAGAAAGGUAACUGGACAGGCGUUCAGUAAGCGCUGUAGUAACCGGAUACCAUUUCACACAGCAAUAUACAUUCUAGAGAAGCAGGGUUAACAUGAAUCGAUGCGACGGUUGGACGAUGCAACAGACAUGAUGUCAUAAAGAAACUUUUCAACCUAAUAGUGUAUUAACGUUAGAAUAAAAAAUGUUGAAACUGAACUUAAUUAGUAAUAAAUCUUUUCUUUGAA